rnacentral:piRNA from 1 species
UAGUGAGACAGCAACCAGGGCAGCCAA